UUGAACGCUGGCGGCCGGCCUAACACCUGCAAGUCGGGCGGAUGAAGGGAGCUUGCUCCUGGAUUCAGCGGCGGACGGGUGAGUAAUGCCUAGGAAUCUGCCUGGUAGUGGGGGAUAACGUCCGGAAACGGGCGCUAAUACCGCAUACGUCCUGAGGGAGAAAGUGGGGGAUCUUCGGACCUCACGCUAUCAGAUGAGCCUAGGUCGGAUUAGCUAGUUGGUGGGGUAAAGGCCUACCAAGGCGACGAUCCGUAACUGGUCUGAGAGGAUGAUCAGUCACACUGGAACUGAGACACGGUCCAGACUCCUACGGGAGGCAGCAGUGGGGAAUAUUGGACAAUGGGCGAAAGCCUGAUCCAGCCAUGCCGCGUGUGUGAAGAAGGUCUUCGGAUUGUAAAGCACUUUAAGUUGGGAGGAAGGGCAGUAAGUUAAUACCUUGCUGUUUUGACGUUACCAACAGAAUAAGCACCGGCUAACUUCGUG
rnacentral:rRNA from 1 species